rnacentral:lncRNA from 1 species
GCUAUCCACCACUUGACAAAUAAAAACCGAACGUUUAGUUUACGGACUUAGGUACCACAAUCCCAAAGAAUGUCUUAAAAGGAUUGCAUAUGUAUCUAAGUAGUCUCAUCCUCACAAUCUUACUAUUGAUAAUGUAUCAUUAGAAGAAUAUGUUAGAAAAGGUCUAUCAUAAAGAGGACAACACUUUUAAUGUCAUGAUUCUUCAAUUACAAUUUGUUGUAUGAAGAAAUAGGAGUUGCUUUGAACAACUCUUAGUCAAUGCAAACACUUAGUGCUUGUUUCUUUGAUUAAAUGAACAAAGAACUUGAGAAGAAAGCACAAAGGCAUGGACACUUUAUGUGCCAUGAUUCUUCACUUACAAUUUGUUGUAUGAAGAAAUAAGAGUUGCCUUGUACAACUCUUUAAAGUUUGUAAUUAUGUUUAGAACAUAAUGGUUGGUUGACAAAAGUAGUCCAUUAACAUGGACUUAUGAUGAUUUUGAAUCAUUGAAUGUUGAAGUGAUAAACCACUUAAUGAGACGGAAACUAGGCAAGGACUUCACCUUUGUGUCCCUAUCCUAAUGGUUCACUAAGUUUAUUGUAAACUAUGUAGUGAACAAUAAACCACAUGCUCUCCAAAAUUGUUUGAUGUGUAUAACACAAUUGAAAAAAGGUUUCAAGAGAGAUAGUGGGAGUUUAGGGACCAUGACUAAUGUAGUCAAAGGUGAAAGUCAAAUAAAGAAGAUAAAUAACUCUAAGGGAACAAACUUUCUUUAUGAAAGGAUGGACAUUGGAAGGGGUAUUUGCAAGAAAUGUCUUGCAAGUGUCAAGGACACACCUUUCGAAGGUGUUGUAAAUUGUUCUUGAAUAGUUCAAAACAGUUGGUUCUUCUACUUGAAUGCAUGAUUCCGUAUUAGUGACUAUGUUUUACAAUCGUUGUAAAAGUGUGGCUAAUAAGAAGUAGAAGAUUAAUGAAAGAAGAGAAAGUACUUCACAUUCGAAGCGUGAAUCAAAUGUAGAUCUCUGCGAAAGCAGAUGGUACUUACUUCCUCAUAUGAACUACCAAAGAAAUUGGAAAAACAUAGAUUGUCUUUAUAUUCCAAUUUUAAGGAACUAAAUUCCGUCACUAUGUGAAAUGGAUAUAUGUUUUGUUUGACAAAACAAUGUUCUUUAUUAAUCAAUGAUUAGAUUAUGGUAAUCUAAUUAAUUGUCUCUAUAGUAGAGAUAAUAUGGUAGUGUUAACUGUUUAGAAAAUAAUGAUGCUUAAAACCCAAAAGGUUGCAAGGAAGUGACUAAUCCCAACUAAGUUGUGAUUCCUCUAAAAACAUAAAUUACGAGUUGGUCAUACAUGGACGCUUUGGAUCGUUAGGUCCGGAUCCAAUACCUUCUUGUUAAAAUUGUAUGGAGGCGAAAUGUUCGAAUCUUUAUUCUUUUGGAAAGAA